AGGGCUGUAGCUCAGUGGUAUAGCAUCUGUCUUGGAUGUUGAAGGUCCCAAGUUCAAAUCCUGGCACCUCCA